rnacentral:rRNA from 1 species
CGGAGGAUCCAAGCGUUAUCCGGAUUUAUUGGGUUUAAAGGGUGCGUAGGCGGCUUAUUAAGUCAGGGGUGAAAGACGGUGGCUCAACCAUCGCAGUGCCCUUGAUACUGAUGAGCUUGAAUGAACUAGAGGUAGGCGGAAUGUGACAAGUAGCGGUGAAAUGCAUAGACAUGUCACAGAACACCGAUUGCGAAGGCAGCUUACUAUGGUUUUAUUGACGCUGAGGCACGAAAGCGUGGGGAUCAAACAGGAUUAGAUACCCUGGUAGUCCACGCCCUAAACGAUGAAUACUCGCUGUUAGCGAUAUACAGUUAGCGGCUAAGCGAAAGCGUUAAGUAUUCCACCUGGGGAGUACGCCCGCAAGGGUG